rnacentral:rRNA from 1 species
CUGGAGGUAUCAGAAGUGCGAAUGCUGACAUAAGUAACGAUAAAGCGGGUGAAAAGCCCGCUCGCCGGAAGACCAAGGGUUCCUGUCCAACGUUAAUCGGGGCAGGGUGAGUCGACCCCUAAGGCGAGGCCGAAAGGCGUAGUCGAUGGGAAACGGGUUAAUAUUCCCGUACUUGGUGUUACUGCGAAGGGGGGACGGAGAAGGCUAUGUUGGCC